rnacentral:ncRNA from 1 species
AUUGCCCCUUAAAUUAUACACAGGUUGUGUAUAAAAAUAGAAAAUUGGAUAAAUUGCAAGAAAACUUGUUAAAAAACAGAUAACUUGCAGCGAAGUUUAAUAGGAAUAAAAAGUAUUAAAAUCGUUCAACGACUAAAUUACCUUUAGGUAUAAAACAUCCAAUAUCGCUUUAAGCGAUAAAGACAUAGUCUGAACAAUAUAGAAAUAUAUUG